GACGAACGCUGGCGGCGUGCUUUACACAUGCAAGUCGAACGGUGAAGGUGGAGCUUGCUCCGCCGGAUCAGUGGCGAACGUGUGAGUAACACGUGGGCAACCUGCCCCUAACUUUGGGAUAACUACUCGAAAGAGUAGCUAAUACCGGAUAUGAAGUCUGUAGGCAUCUAUGGAUUUGGAAAGUUUUUCGGUUAGGGAUGGGCCCGCGGCCUAUCAGCUUGUUGGUGAGGUAGUGGCUCACCAAGGCGACGACGGGUAGCCGGCCUGAGAGGGCGACCGGCCACACUGGGACUGAGACACGGCCCAGACUCCUACGGGAGGCAGCAGUGGGGAAUAUUGCGCAAUGGGCGAAAGCCUGACGCAGCAACGCCGCGUGCGGGAUGAAGGCCUUCGGGUUGUAAACCGCUUUCAGCAGGGAAGAAGCGAAAGUGACGGUACCUGCAGAAGGAGCACCGGCUAACUACGUGCCAGCAGCCGCCGUAA
rnacentral:rRNA from 1 species